AGAAGAAGAUAAAGCUUUUGUUCUCGUAGUUUAUUUAUUAAUUGGAGAAAACUAAAAAAAAAUUGAUUUAAUAAUUUUUUUCCAUCAGUUUUGGUAAAACAGAGAGAGAAGAUGUAGGAAUCUCCGACGGACGACGAUUUAGAAAACGACAGAGUAGAUUUUCCGACGGACAACGAUUUUGAUGACGGAGGAUGAAGGAGAUGAGGGUAACAGCGCGAAAAAAGCGGGCUGAGAGGCGAAAAGAAAAGGCAAUUUUUUGUGGUUAUUGGGGUUCCUUUUGCGAUUUUGAUUCUGGGAUUGCUUUCGUGAAAUCGUUACUUUCCGAGUAGCUUCUAGUGGCUAAGGUUUCGAUUUGGGGUGGGAUAUAGGGUUUCAUGGAUUAUGGUAACGAUUUUUUUGUUUUGGGUUCUGAUUUUGCGGAUUAGAUUUUGAUUUGGGGUUGUGGGUUCUAUUUUGGGACUGAAGAAGCUGAUUUUUUAUUUGGUUUGUGUGUGUUACAGGGAAGGCGAAAGCAGAGGAGGGAGUCAUGAACAAGAGAUUACCGCGACGUUUGUUCGUGACAGAUCGAUAAGACGACGAGCUGAAUCUUCGAAGCUAUGUCUGUGAGAAGCUCCCACAACACAUAGAGUUGGUUUUGGCAGAGGUGAAAAAGGCUGAUCAUGAUCCUCAGCUGACUGUGCAAUCUAUAUGAAGUGUGGAGAGAACAAAGAGGAUGGAUGGGGGGAAAUUUGAUAGUGAGAUUUUCGAUUGUAAAGUUGCCAACAUGGUUGAGCUUCUGAAGGCUAGACACAAAUUCAUAAAACAUAAAUUGAGAAGUGAUGAUGCAUUUAAACCUAUGUACAUGUGCACAAGCAAGUGUGUACAUGUGUACAAGAGAAAAUGUGUACAUGGGAACAACACCGAGUACACAUCAUAUAAUUUUCAUACAUUUGCAAAUUUAAGUAUUUGUAAAGUUUGUAUUGUUAAUGUGUACACAUGUAUUUCAUUGUCCACAUGUACAAAUCAUACAUACUGAAUCAUAAUGUA